rnacentral:lncRNA from 1 species
CCCAAUAUAACAGCCUAGUUGGAAGGCCGAAGAUGCCUUUGCCUGCUCAUCCACGUACGGGAGCGGAUCAACCCGGUGGCGCCGCCGACCUCCGGCGAGCCGCCGGCGAUGGCACCGCCGACAACCGCGCCACCGUGGUGACCUUACCGCCGCCGGAUUCAGUGGCUACCCCGGUAGCACCUACACGAAGGUUACUCUUUUCUCUGAACUGUAUUUUUCAUUGAGCCCUUGUGUUUGUUUGAUCUUCAUAAGGGAAUUUUUCAGGUUUUGAUCCUCAAAAAAGCUUAGGAUUUUCCCGUUCUUCCAAUCCGUGUGAGGACUAUGGAAUAAAGGAUAUACAUGAUUUAGCUUUCUUAAUUAGCACUACAUGAUAGCAAUUUGGCACCUUUCAAUGGAAGAUGUGUAACUGGUAAAGGAUAACAAAAGGGUAGGAAGAUUGCACCAUCAAUGCCGAAACUUUUCAUCCCCAAACUGAAGAAAAAGGGCAUGAUAAACUAAGGCCCUGUUUAGAUCUUCCAAAAUGACAAAAGUUUUGCUAUUUUGUUGUACUUUUUGCCAUUUUGGAUCUAAACACUAGUAGUAAAAGUUGGCAAUUUGGUAUUUGGCAUUUGCUAGUCCAUAGUAGCAAAUUGUGCCAAAAAGUGCUUUGGGACCACUCCAUCUCUCUUUCUCUUUCUCACUUUAUUGCUAGAAUGGUAAAACUUUAAC